ACUCACAUAUUUUUGUUAACAAGCAGGAAAUGGUGGUGUCGUCGAGAGAUUAGAAUUAUUAUUUUUAUGAAUAUUGACACGAUGAUGAGGAUGACUUUAUGAAUAUUUGACUUCAUGAUUUAUGUUUAUUUGUCAUGAUAAUUUAUAAUGAACCCACAAAUUUUUAUGCAAAUUGAAAUUUCCUGUUACAGAUUCCUCCCCCACCUGCAUGCACUGUUGGACGUGGAACCUCCCAACUGGGACAAGAACCACGAGUACGGGUCUGCCGACGUGGACGUUUAUUACGUCGAUGGUCAGCGCGGCGGCUGGGUCAAGACUGAAGAGGGGACCGCUUUACGAGACGUCAUGCGACAAGAGAGAUAUUAUCUCCCGAGUCGGGAGUCCCGACGAAUGGAGUACCUGGAUUUUUUAUUCUCUCAAAAAAAUCAGAAUUUUGUAAAUUUUUCUUGGAAAGGAUGAAAUGACAUGACAUUCAAUAAAUGAAUUGAAAAUGUGGAAUUAUUUUUAA